CCCUUAGAUGUCCUGGGCCGCACGCGCGCUACACUGACAUGUUCAACAAGCCUCCUAGUUCGACAGGAUUUGGGAAAUCUUUGAACGCAUGUCGUGAUAGGGAUAGAUCAUUGCAAUUAUUGAUCUUGAACGAGGAAUUCCUAGUAAACGCGAGUCAUCAGCUCGCAUUGAUUACGUCCCUGCCCUUUGUACACACCGCCCGUCGCACCUACCGAUUGAAUGUUUCGGUGAAGAUUCCGGAUAGGUCUUUUUUGAUUUAUUUCAAUUCUGUCUUAAAAGCUAUCUAAACCUCAACAUUUAGAGGAAGGUGAAGUCGUAACA
rnacentral:rRNA from 1 species